AUGUUCUUCACAUACUGCUUAUCUUUAUUUAAUCAUUUCACCAUAUCUCAAAUAAGAAAUGCAUUUGAACCAAUGAAAUUUCAACUCUUAUGCUAUACAAGACUAAAGGAGUUAUUUUGGCCUAUAGCUGAAAAGGAUGGCAUCAUAAUAGAAAUGAGAGUUGGAUGGAUUAUCAGAUACGGAGAAAAAGUCAUCAUAUUAGAUAAUAAGUGGGAAUCCCAGAUGUCUGUCAAUCAGAUCCAUACCUCCAAGACAAGGAAAAUAAAGAUCAAAAUGCACAGAGAACAAUACUGAUUUUCAUUAUUGAAAUAUUCAAAUGGUGACUGGGUUGUCAAGUUCAUCAAAGAAAUUAUAUAUUGACUGUGACACAGCUUUAUUGGUAAGUGAUUUCUUGCAUGUUUAUCCUUUUGAAAUUAUGAAUAACAUAGUUUUAAAUUGUAAGAUAUUUUAGACUAAAUAUAUAUAUAUGCCAGGAUUUAUGGUAGGCUUUGGAGAUAAUAAAAUCUUAAAUAGUAUUCCA
rnacentral:lncRNA from 1 species